AAAGACGGUAUGUUUGAAAUUUAAGUGAGUGGCAGACUUGUAUAGGAUGAAGAACUGUGAGCCAUUUGAGUGAGGACCAGAAUUAGCCAUGCUAACAACACCUCUACCAGAAUGCAGCAACUUGGAGUGCACUUCAUCCUUGAAGGGCUUACCCCAGAUCGACUCACCUCCUUUCCCUGUCCCAGUUGGAUCACCACCUUGAAUCAUGAAAUUCCGGAUGUUUCUGUGAAAAGCUACUCCAUUAUAAUAACCUUGUUCACAAAGAGUAAUGAAGUUCUCACAUGCCCUUGGAGUUAU
rnacentral:misc_RNA from 1 species